UGGGGAAUCUUCCGCAAUGGACGAAAGUCUGACGGAGCAACGCCGCGUGAGUGAAGAAGGUUUUCGGAUCGUAAAGCUCUUUCGUCAGGGACGAACGUAUUUCUUGUAAAUAAUGAGAGAUAGUGACGGUACCUGAAUAAGAAGCCACGGCUAACUACGUGCCAGCAGCCGCGGUAAUACGUAGGUGGCAAGCGUUGUCCGGAAUUAUUGGGCGUAAAGCGCGCGCAGGCGGGAUAUCAAGUCUGUCUUAAAAGUGCGAGGCUCAACCUCGUGAGGGGACAGAAACUGGUAUUCUUGAGUGUCGGAGAGGAAAGUGGAAUUCCAAGUGUAGCGGUGAAAUGCGUAGAGAUUUGGAAGAACACCAGUGGCGAAGGCGACUUUCUGGACGAUGUCUGACGCUGAGGCGCGAAAGCUAGGGGAGCGAACGGG
rnacentral:rRNA from 1 species